rnacentral:rRNA from 1 species
UACAGAGGGGGCAAGCGUUGUUCGGAUUUACUGGGCGUAAAGGGCGCGUAGGCGGCCUAUUAAGUCAGCUGUGAAAUCUCCGAGCUUAACUCGGAACUGUCAGCUGAUACUGAUGUGCUAGAGUGCAGAAAGGGCAAUCAGAAUUCUUGGUGUAGCGGUGAAAUGCGUAGAUAUCAAGAGGAAUACCUGAGGCGAAGGCGGGUUGCUAGGCUGACACUGACGCUGAGGCGCGAAAGCCAGGGGAGCAAACGGG